GGGGCACAGGGCGUGGCAAGCAGACGGGAGUUGAAUCGUGUGGGAAGGGUAGUCUAGUGGUGCCUAAUGGAAGAGUCAUGGAAUGGGGUGGAAUGGAAUAGAGGGGAGGGGUACUAAACUAGGUUAAGACCCAGGACUUCCCAAAGAGCAGAGUUAGGGGCUUGCCAUUGGAAAAGGCAUAGGCAGGAGGUGGGGAUGAGUGGGUGAUAACUAGGAAUAUUGAUCAGGUGAAAACAUGCCAUUGGGGUUAGCUGGAAAGAUAGGUUGGAGUAAAUCAUUGGAAAUGAGUGUCAUGGCAUUUCAGUUAAAUUAAGGAAAAGAAGGUCAGGGAAAUGAUAUCAGAGAGAAAGUAUGGAUUUCGAGAAAAUUAAGUGAAUGUUCGUUUAGAAAGGCUUAAUGUGGUGAGCUGAGUAGCCAAAAAGCCUGACUUUGGAAAGGGUGUGGGAAUCAGGAGGGGUAGGGGAAGUUUUUGGAAAGGAGACAGCUGAUCGAUAUAGCUGUCUCGGUAUGAGAAGAAGGCUGGCCUAUUAAUUUAGGGCUUCUAGUUGGAUAUAUGGGAAACCCUGGUAGCGUAGUGGUUAAGUGCCACAGCUGCUAACCAAAGGGUCGGCAGUUCAAAUCCACCAGGCGCUCCUUGGAAACACUUCGGGGCAGUUCUAGAGUCGGAAUUGACUCGCCGGCCCUGGGAGUGGGUAGUUGGAUAUGGCACUCAGACUGGUGGCUAGUCUGCAGGAAUACAGCGAUAGAGGUAGAGAAGGAGAAAAAUAGAACACUUUCAUCACUUCUGCUCUGAUUUCCUUUCACUCUUCCUCUUUCCAUACUUCACCUCCUUCUGAACACAGGGAUGUGAGGUUGGGACUUUAGCAGUACAAGAUGGAGCCCCAUAGGGACUUAUAUGUUACUCUGAAUCCCUUGUUAUGUUCACUGUCUGGGAUGUUUACUACCCAGGACACCUCCUACCCAGAUUGCCAUGUUGCUACUUUCCUAACUUUAACAGUCUGUUUUUUACUAAACAGAGGGUGUUUUACUAUCUCUGGGGGUCCUGUCAGUUAAGUGUGAGUGUGCAGAGUUUUCUCAGCAAGCUCACUUGAUUCCUGUGUUUAAUAUUUUUGCAGUAAACUAAGUAGUUCUUGGAGAGAGAGAUCUUUAUAGGCAUUCUAAGCACAGAAAAAUAUGUUAAAAUGAGUUCGUUUUGUUAAAUGCGUGACUUACCCACUCAUAUUCUGGAAGAGUUAUUAAAUGGAUGGUUACAAUUUUAACCUAAAUAGUUUUUUUACAAAGUAUAAAUAUGUAAAUAAGGAAAGUGAAACAUUUUUAGUUUCUUCCUUUGUGUCCAGACUCAGAAGUAAAGAUAUGUCAUAAUAUCUUAGGGUAAGGGUUGGGGAAAUCAAACUCAAUUUGUACUUAAACAUGAAGGAUGUAAGGUAAGUGGAAGCUAUUGCAAAAUGUAACAUGUCUGUAAGAAAAGGAGCUAAAGAAAAGUUUGGCAGCUAUACUAAGUAGUCUUACCAGUUCUUAAUUCUGUACAGAAAAGGAACAGGCCUUUGCCCUUUGAUAGUUGUGUAUCAUUUAAUCAUGAAUUGAAAUAAUACAGCCAAUUAAUUAAUAACUUUUUUGCUAUUUCAUAGAUUUUUCUUUCUGUUCUCCCUUUACUUUUGAGAAGCAAAAUGAUGUCUGAAAUACUGGUAAAACUAUUAUAUGAAGAGAAGCCAGAGUAUGUAGUUUUAUAUUAACCUUUGGUUUUCAGAAACCAUUUGAAGCUUUUCCUCUUGGCCAGGUAGUUGCCCCUAAAGUACACUGAGACCAAUUAAUUACCAACCCUUUAGCAUUAAUUACUGAUUUGGGUAUUUCACGUUAAGAACAUUGCUUAUUGGACAUUCAGAUGGCCUGGCAGCUGCACAAAAAAAUAUCCAAUGAGAGAACAGAGUCCCUGUUUUGUUCUUCUAUCCUAGAAUUUGUGAUUGCUUUGACUGGGGCAUUAUUAAAUGCAAGCCUUUUUUUUUUUUUUUUUUCUCACUAGUGUACUAUGUAGCAGAAAGCUAGAAAUAACACUGCUCAUCUUUUAACUUGUAGAUCAAAGUUCACACUUGUGGUAGUUUCAGUAUUAUAAUUUUUAAGCACCUUUGUUUGUUUACUGUGGAUUUAUUUAUUUAUUUAAAUAAUUUUGUGUUUUAGAUGAACAUUUACACAGCAGAUUAGAUUCCCUUCCACAAUUUUUAUACAAGUUAUCCCAUGCCGUUGGUUACAAUUUUUACAAUGUGUCAGCAUUCUCAUUAUUUCCAUUCACUUUGUUGCCAUUAAUCUAGCUUCCUUUCCCCGCCUUGACUUCUCAUCUUUGCUUUUGGGUAACUGUUGACCGUUUGGCCUCAUGUAGUUAACUGUUUAAGGGAGCACAUUACUCAUGGGUGAUAUUGUUUAUUUUAUAAACAAAUUUAUCAUUGGGCUGAAAGGUGACCUGCAGAAAUAGCUUGAAUUCCAAGUUCAAAGGUUAUUUUAGGGUAAUAGUCUUGGAGGUUCCUCUAGCUUUUCUGUCAGUCUAGUAGGUCUGGCCUCUUUCAGGAAUGUUAGUUUUGUUCUACAUUUUUCUCCCAUUCUACCCAGGACCUUUAAUUGUAUCCCUGGUCAGAAAGGUCAAUUGUGGCAGCUGGACAAUAUCUAGUUCUUCUGGUCUUGGUUUAGAAGAGAUUGUGGUUCAUGUGGGCUGUUAGUCCUGUGGACUAGUUUCUUUUUGGAGCCUUUGAUUCCCUUCUCCUUUGCUGCAUAGGAGUAAAGACCGAUGUAGUCAUGUGCCUCAUAAUGUCCGUUCGGGCAAUGUGUGAUCAUGUAUAUGUCUGUAGUCUCAUAAGGGUAUAACAGAGUUCAGAAAUCCUGAUCAGAGACAGGGACAUAUAUCGGAGAAUGGGACCAAACACAACGCAAAAGGAAACUUUUUUGGUCCUUUUGGAAAGCCAGAGGGUUUGAUUAUGAAUAACUUGUGCUGUCUGCACCAGGCUCCCCUGGGCCCUGGGGUCUCCACACCCUGUUGUUUCAUGGGCCCUGCCCUCCAAGCCAUCCUGGGCAGUGGGACAGUGGCCUCCAGGGGCCUGAUUUGACAUGGUGUUCGCACCGCCCAAAUCAUAUAACAUUCUGUUUCACAGAACGUAUUGUGGACGUUAAGUUACGCAUGACUAUAGUUGUAUCUUAGAUGGCCGCUUCCAAGCUUUUGAGACCCCUGAGUCUGUUCACCAAACUAGGAUGUGGAACAUUAUCUUUGUGAAUACCACAGCUUUUAAAUGUUAAUAGCCACAGUUACUGUAUCUUGUUCUCUUUCCUCUCCCCACUUUUAAGCCAAAAUGAAAACUAUUUUUUCAACCAACUCGUAAGCAACUACUUUGCCUCAAGUAAAGUCUCUGGCUCUGCCUGUGCACAGCUGCUCUGAAGUUCUCACAAGUUACUGUUUUGAGCAUGUCAAGACGGAGUUUUUCUUAGGCUGCAGUGAGAGGGAGUCAGUGUUAUACAGCAGCCUCCUAUCCAUGUCUGAUAAGGAGGAGCCUUCUCCUUGCAAAGAAAUUUUAGGUGGAGCAAAUAAUACAGCCGUGUAAAUGUCUAAUAAAGACAGCUCUCUUCCGGAGACUAGCUGGCAGGCUGGCAUGUAACUGUCUCUUACCCUUUUGGUAAAGGUCUUCAAGUUAAGGUGCAGACAUGUUUCACUGGGAAAACAAAUGCAGCAUUUAUUUAAAAGGAAGCUUUAAUUUCUUUUGUUGGUAGUUUCUCUGAAAAUGGUACAAUGAUUUUAGAGUUCAUGAAAAAAUCAUUCAUCUCUUUAGAAACAUGUCAAAGAAAAUCUAUUUUUAAGCUUCUCUGACAUGUACCCAUUUUUAAAUGUUGGCUUUCCCUAACAGGCUAAUUCAGCCUUCUUUUGGGCUCAAGAGAAAUGUGAAAAUGCAUCACAUUUGUAGUCCCCAGUGGUUGGUCUUGUAACUUCUGAAUGGUGUAAGGAAGAGGUCCGUAGCUACCUGCUCCGUUACUGAGUGCUACUUUUAGAACAGUCCUAGUCUUGUGCUGAAGCUCAUCAGUUCUGCCAUCUGAUAAUCGAAUAUGCAUAAAUGUUUACAGUUGGCAUAGGUUUUUAUAUAUCAUAACAAUAAACCUAACUCCUUGUCAGCAUGCUAGCCCUUCAAAUAUUUGAUGAUAGUUAUGCCCUGGUAAGGGUUUUCUUUCUGGGGUAAAUAGUCCAAGUUUUUUUCAGCCAUUCCUUAAAUGACAUUUUUAAUAAGUUUCAUGCUCCUCAUCAGCUUAGUUGCCUGAGUUUUCAGGGUUUCUUAUCUAGAUCUGAAUAUAACAUCUCAGAUCAAUAUGCAGUACAAAGGAGAAUACAGCUUCUUUUUUGCAGGGCUCUGUACCUCUGUUGGCGCCCUGGUGGCACAGUGGUUAAGAGCAACGGCUGCUAACCAAAAAGUCAGCAGUUCGAAUCCACCAGCUGCUCCUUGGAAACCCUGUGGGGGCAGUUCUGUAGGGUUGCUAUGAGUUGGGAUCGACUCAACAACAAAAGUUUGUUUUUAGUUUAGUUUUGUUUUGGUAUACCUCUGUUCUUAAAAUCUAAGGUCAAAUUAAUUUGUGCAAUUGAUUUCUUUUAACAUAAUUAAGGAAUUUACAUUUAUCCCCGUAAUUGCCAUCUUGUUAGUUUUGGCUUACUGUUUUAGUUUGGUAAUGAUAUUCAGACUCUUGGCCAUUCCUCAUAUCUUUGUAUCAUUGAUAAAUUUGAUAAAUAUUAUACCUCUCUUUUUAUUUUAGUUCAGUGGUAAAGAUGAAUAAGGGUGGAUCAAUGAAUGCUAUAUGACUUCAUUGGCAUGGUGGUCUAGGUUGCCAGGCUAUGUGCUGUGGGUGAAACAGUGCUGCAAACAAGAAAGAACAUCAGAAGACAUCUCUAGGGACUAAAGACUUUGUGUUGGCGGCCAACAACUUUCUUGCAUGUUAAUUUUAGACCUGACAGUUGAAUUUAUGUUUGAGCAAUUUUAGCUGAUAAAUGCAUUUUUUAAACUCCUUCCUCUUUUGGGGUUUUAAUUUUUACUUUCAUUUAAAAAAAAUUGCAAAUCGUGAAUGGAAAUGUUUAUGUGGGUUAAAGUAACAUGUUAGUCAUUGACAGGAUGUAUUUUCUUUUGAUACCUUGUCAUCUAUCUGUAAUUAUUUACUUAUGAAUUCUCCUGGAAAGCAGAAGGAUGGACUUGAUGACCCCUCAAGGUCCUUUCCAGUCCAAAAAUUCAUAAACAUAAGCUCAGAUCAAGGACCUUAGUAUUGAAAAAUCAGGAAGAAAAAUAGACUAUAAGGAAAAUGAAAUUGAAAUGGUUCUACUGACCCAGUGGGAAUGGAUAAACAAAAAAUAAGGAACAUAAAUGAUGAAAAAUAACUCCUUUGAGCUAAAAAUAAAACAAACAACAACAAAUAUUUUGCAUUGGGGUCAUUUCAUUCCUUAAAAUAUUUUAUCAUGACAUUCUCUCUUCAGCAUUUCCCCAGUGCACACUUCGUGUUGAAAGAAUGUUUUGUUCCGUUUUUUUUUUUUCCUGUUAAAUCAUAGUAUUUUGUUUCCUUUCCUUCUUGUUUGUCCUUUUCUUUAAAACUUUUUCUGCCUUCUGAAUAAUGUUCUCACUGCCUGUAUACAUUGAAGCAAAAUUCUGUUCAGCUUUAAAAGUAAGCGUAUGCUGUAUAGCUUCCUUGGAGAGGAAGGAUGAGCGUUAAAAUUUAGUAAAGGUUGAUGAAAAGAUAAACCUGUUACUUGGCUUUUAAAACUUUGUAGGUAGACAUCUAGGAAAGAUUCCCAACUAAACCAAAGCUGAGUUAGUAGUCUUAUGAAGGAUAUAGAACACUUAAGAGUUUAUGAGAACAAAACUCAUUACAAACCCACAACCUCACUUUGUUAGCUUUUUUUCAUCUUUUGGUAAUUUUAAUCUUAAAUAUUCUCAUACCUCUUAAACCAGACUGAUUAUAUAAAAAGUUUCUCUUUUCUGUUCAGUACUCCAUUUCUCAAUAAAUAUCAGUUGAUCAAAGUAUGACUGGAGCCAAAAUGUACAAUAAAAAUGUCACUUAUUGAGCAUGGGGCUUGGGCUUCUGUGGGAACAGUGUUGUUCUGCCAUAGCCCCACGGCUCCACCAACUCACAAAACCCAACUUGCUUUCCUUGAGUGGAACUACCUCUCAUAUCUCCUGCUCUGGCAGAGUGCUUCUUUUUGACUUAGUGGACAGAGGAGAUUUAUGUGCUAAACUGAUCGAGUUUUAUCUGGGACUUAAAAUCUGUCAUGCAGUAGAAAAAUUUUAGACAUGUACCACACAAUGUGUUCAGGCAACAUCUGAUUGCGUAUAUGUCCGUGGUUCCAUAAGAUUAUAAUAGAGUUCAGAAAUCCCUAUCGGGAAAUGGGAUGUAGCAGAUAUAACUGGACCUAGCAGAUGCAACAGCUUCCUGCAUGCAACACAUGUAUUUCUUGUCUCUUAUAUACAAAGCGAUUGUGCUGCCAGGUGUAUAAUGGUACAGUACACAUAUAACCUAUAAUACAUAUGUCUUGAUAGUCGUCUUAGUUAUCUAGUGAUGCUAUAACAGAAAUACAACAAGUGGAUGGCUUUAACAAAGAGAAAUUUAUUUCCUGACAGUAAAGUAGGAUAUAAGUCCAAACUCAGGGCGUCAGCUCCAGGGGAAGGCUUUCUUUCUCUGCCGGCCUUCUCCUCAAUCGUCCCCCAAACUAGGAGCCUCUCUGUGCGGUGACCUGCGGUCCAGAGGAUGUGCUCUGCUCCCGACACUGCUUUCUUGGUGGUAUGAAGUCCCCAUGUCUCUCUGCUCCCUUCUCUCUUUUAUAUCUCAAAAGAGUUUUGCUUAAAACACUAUCCAAUCUCGUAGAUCUCAUCAAUAUGUCUGCCACUAAUCUAGCUUAUUGCUCAUUACAUCAUUGUGAUAAGAUUUAUAACACAGGGAAAUCACAACAGAUGACAAAAUGGUAGACAAUCAUACAAUAUGAAAAAUCAGGACCUAGCCAAGUUGACAGGUAUUUUUGUGGGACAUAGUUAAGUCCAUGACCGUAGCCAUGCAGCAGCAUCCAAUCUCAUGUAUCAUGCAUCUUUUGAGUGUUAUAGUGUUAUUUCUCUGUUUCAUUUUCUUUCAAAAAUAAUACCAUAAAGUGCAUCAAGGCUUUCAAAUGCACCAAAACCAAUGCUAGUAAUAGCAGCAGCAAGAGGCAAAGGAGAAGUGUCUAUUUGGAAGUGAAACCAAAGGUAUCCCAUGUAAGUAUAUAAUACGGUAUUUGCACAACAUCCAAAUCACAUAACGGCCUGGUUCACAGAACGUACCAUGGACGUUACGUGACACAUGACCAUACAUUUUUCAGUUUUAAAAGUAGGGCACAGCUAUUCUUUCUGAAACAUAUGCCCGACUAUAUUAUACAAUCAGGAUGAUUUAUUGAAUAAAACAUACAAUCAGGAUGAUUUAUUGAAUAAAACAUAUAGUUGCUGUGAGUGAUUUGUGUUAGCACCAGGUUUCUUGCUGAUAAUAUUUAUUUAAGCUUUAUCAAACUCGAAUAACAUUAUGUUGGUUUUAUUUAACAUGGUAUUUCUGGUACCAGUAUGUCUCUUGCAGCACCAUUUUCUUUAACUUAUUUAAGCUUUGGCCAAGCAGUAGUUUCCAAAUAUUUUACACAUCUAUGUUUGGGAUUGAUGAGGGUACAUGUCGGAAUACUUAAAUAGAUCACUGUGUUGCUAAAAUGCGGGCAGACUUGGAAAAUAGACCUUUUUUUUUUUUCCCUUGACAACUUCUAAGUGACUCCGUGAUUAUCAUUGUGGGAUAUGGCAGCAAUUUCCUAUGCAGGACCAAAUUCACACUGGGGUUUAAUAAUAAAGUCUAGCAGGUUUUAUUGGUGACAUUUGCAAACUGUUUAAGUCCCUGAAGAUUUUAUAUUGAUCCUUAAAGAUCAGUGUUUUGGGAUGGAUUGCUAUUGGUUUAUUGUUUUAUGAAUCAUAAUUUAUCUGAAAAUGAACAGAAAAAAAAGCCACACUAGAUUUUUGUUUGAUAGCUUACCAGUUUCUAGGAAUUUUUCUGCUUCCAAAAUGUCUUUUGAGGCCAAAUAUAGAUAGGUAUAUAUAUUUUUUUAACUUAUGUCUAAUUUUGCUUCCUGCUGUCACCGUAGCAAGUUGUUGCUUCUUUGCUCUUGCUUUAUUAACCUUUAUGGGAAUAGUUCAAAAUAGGUUUUGAAUUCCCUAAAAGCCGCAAACCAGAAAAAAACAAAUUCAUUGCCAUCGAGUCGGUCUGACUCAUAGUGACCUUACAGGACAAAGUAGAACUGCCCCAUAGGGUUUUCAAGUAGUGGCUGGUGGGUUUGAGCUGCCGACCUUUUGGUUAGCAGCAGAGCUCUUAACCACUGAGCCCCUAGGGCUCCUCCCAAAGCUUAAACCAAAAAAACCGUUGCCAUGCAGUGGAUUCCUACUCAUAGCAACACUGUAGCACAGAGUAGAACUGCCCCGUAGGGUUUCCAAGGAGUGCCUGGUGGAUUCGAACUGCCGAUGUUUUGGUUAGUAGCUGUAGCUCUCAACCGCUACGCCACCAGGGUUUCCUCACAAAGCUUACCAAAAACCAAGCCUAACACACUGCCGUUAAGUCGAUUCCAACUCAUAGUGACCCUAUAGGACAGAGUAGAACUGCCCCAUAGAGUUUCCAAGGAGCCCCUGGUGGAUUCGAACUGCCAACCUCUUGGUUAGCAGAUAUAGCACUUAACCAUUACACCACCAGGGUUUCCUCCCAAAGCUUAAAAAAGCUUGGAGAGCCUUAAAAAAUGUUCUAGUUACCCCAGACCUUAUGUUAGCCCAAAACAGGAACCAUUCCCAAAACCAACUCUUCAGACAGAUUGGACUGGACUAUGGGAUAGAAAAUGAUAUUGGUGAGGAAUGAGCUUCUUGGAUCAAGUAGGCACAUGAGACUGUGUGGGCAGCUCCUGUCUGGAGGGGAGAUAAGAGGGCAGAGGGGGUCAGAAGCUGGCCAAAUGGACAUGAAAAAAGAGUGGAGAGAAGGAGUGUACUGUCUCAUUGGGGGAAAGCAACUAGGAGUGUAUAGCAAGGUGUAUAUUAAUUUUUGUAUGAGAGACUGACUUGAUUUGUAAACUUUCACUUAAAGCGCAAUAAAAAAAAAAAAUUCUAGUUAGGUAGUUGCCUGUAGAAAGCUGCUUCCAGGUAGUUUCUAAGCUUUUACCAUGUGUUGCUUAAUUUAUGAUUCAGGCUAAUUCUUUCCUUCCCACAGAUCUGUUUUCAGUCCUUUCCUACAAAACUAUUUGGUCUAUGUAAGCUGGCUCCUUUCUUUGAAACUUAGACCUUCAUGUCUGAGCCUGAAAUCUAGAAAUUCAUUUCAGACUUCUCUUUGAUUAAUCCAUGAUACUCUACAUUUGUGUAUUUCUUAAAGCAGUGAUCUCAAACAUUUUGGUCUCAGUACCCACCCCUUUAUACUCUUAAAAAUUAUUGGAAAAAAUUAUUGAGAACUCUAGAGAUCUUUUUGUUUAUGUGGGUUAUGCCUAUUGAAAUUUAGCAUAUUAGAAAUAAAAAUGGAGAAAAUUUUUAAAAUAUUAAUUUAUUUUAAAAUAACAGUAAAUCCAUUACAAAAAAAGAAAGCCAAAUCCAUUAUGUGUAAACAUAAAUAGCAUAUUUUUAAAUAGAAAUAACUGUUUUCUAAAAUAAUAAUUUAGGGAGAAAAGCUGCAAAUCUCUUUAAUGUCUAUUUUAAUAAAAAGCAGCUGUAUUCUCAUGUCUGCUUCUGCAUCCAGUCUGUUGCAAUAUGUUGUUUUGGCUAAAGUAUAUGAAGAAACCUGGCCUUGCAGAGAUAUGUAAUAUGAAAAAGAAGGCAUAUUUUAAUAGUUUUAUCAGAUAAUCUUGAAUAUUCUUCUUUAAUACUACCCCAAUAUAUGAAAAGUGAUAGUUUCUUAAGGGUUAAGUGUAGUGUGGAAUCUGAAACUACACUAGUGUACUUUGAAUACUCUGCUACACUGGUCUGUCUUGCCCUUUGAAUAGAUAUUUUACCCAUGUGCGAUUUUGACCCCUUGAGCCCUCUGAGAGGGUCUUAGGCAUUUCUAGGAUUCCCAGAACCCACUUUGAAAACUGCUGUCUUACAGUACCAAACUUGAAAAAUAUAAUUGUUUUCCAUAUGGAAGGAAUAUAAGCUCUGCAACCAUCUUAGUGGUCUCAAAGAGUAGCUCAACAAUUAUGUGCGUUAAAAUUACCCAGGGUGUUUUUUAAAGUGUAGAUUCCUGGGCCCAAUGCCAAGCAAAUCUGAAUCCAAAAGAGGCCUAGGAAUCUAUUUUUACAGGGUGCCCAGGUGAAUAUACUCAAGUUUGACAACUGUCAAGCUAGCUUAAUUGAUGUUACAAGUGUACAGUACCUUAUUUUAAGAAAACCUAAUUUCUAAAAUUUGAAAACAGAAACAAGGAGAAAUUAGUACUUGAAUAGUCACAUUAUAAAAGUAUUUAUGAAGGAUUUAUAUAUUUACAAUUUUUAUCAUAAUUGGGAUAUCUUAAUUAACCAUGUAUUUUGGUGAAUGAAAGUUUAUCACGUAUGUCAGCAAUCAGCAAACGUUUUCUGUAAAUAUGUUAGGCUUUAUAGUCUAUAAGGUCUUUGUUUCAGCUUCUCAACUCCGUCAUUGCAGUGCAAAAGCUGCCAUAGACAGUACAUAAAUGAAUGCGGCUAUGUCCCUAUAAAACUUUAUUUACAAACACCAAAAUUUGAAUUUUAUAUAAUUUUCACAUGUCACAAAGUAUUUUUUUUUUUUUUUUUAACGAUUCGAAAAGGUACAAAUCAUUCUAAGCUUGUGGGCCAAACGGUAACAGGUGGCAGGUAUUAUAUAUAGUGUAUAUGAAUUUUGGGAACUCUGGGUAUAUACUCUAAUUGGAUUUGAAUUUAAAAAUUAGGAUAUAAUAAAAUAUACUUAAUGUUAAAACUAUGAGCAUAAUUUAUUUUCCUAGACAAAACUGACACUCCAAGAACUUACAGUCCCUUAAAUUCAUUUUCUGGGUGUUAAUUUAUAUAAGUGUAUAAGUACCUAUUGUGUGCUAAAUUGUUGAAAAUACACAAUUCUGUUACAAGUAGUUGAAUUAUAAAAAGAUGUGGUAUCCAUUUUUGCAUCUUGUUUGAGGUAUAUGAGAGCAGGUAACUUUUUUUUUUAAUUGUAGUUUAGAUGAAGGUCUACACAGCAAACUAGUUUCUCUUUAAACAAUUUAUACACAUAUUGUUUUUGUGACCUUGGUUGCCAACCCCACAACAUGUCAGCACCCUCUUCUUCUCAACCUGGGGUUCCCCAUUACCAGCUUUCCUGCCCCCUCCUGCCUUCUCCUCCUUGCCCCUGGGCUGGUGUGCCCAUGUAGUCUUGUGUUGUUUUAUGUGACUGUCUAAUCUUUGGCUGAAGGGUGAACCUCAGGAAUGACUUCAUUAUUGAGCUAAAAGGGUAACUGGAAGCCAUGCUCUCGGGGUUUCUCCAUUGUCUGUCAGACCAGUAAUUCUGGCCUUUUUUUUGUGAGUUAAAAUUUUGCUCUCCAUUUUUCUGCAGUCCUGUCCGGGACCGUCUACAGUGAUCCCUGUCAGAGCAUUCGGUAGUGGUAGCCAGGUACCAUCUAGUUGUGUUGGACUUAGUCUGGUGGAGGUUAUAGUAGUUGUGGUCCUUUCGUCCUUUGGACUAAUCUUUCCCUUGUGUCUUUGGUUUUCUUCGUUCUUCCUUGAGAGCAGGUAACUCUUGACUCCUCUUUUGCCUACUUUUUAGUAACUUUCUACCUCAGUUUCCCCAGGAGCCAUGGUGGCACAGUGGUUAAAGCACUCUGCUGCCAACUGAAAGGUCAGCAGUUGCAAACCCACCAGCCACUUCGUGAGAGAAAGAUGUGGCAGUCUGCUUCUGUAAGGAUUGCAGCCUUAAAACCCUAUGGGACAACCAAGGUGCCCAUCAACGGAUGAAUGGAUAAAUAAAUCAUGGUAUAUUCACACAGUGGAAUAUUAUGCAUCGAUAAAGAACAAUGAUGAAUCCAUGAAACAUUUCGUAACCUGGAGGAAUCUGGAAGGCAUUAUGCUGAGUGAAAUUAGUCAUUUGCAAAAGGACAAACAUUGUGUGAGACCAUUAUUAUAAGAACUCGAAAAAUAGUUGAAACAGAAGAAAAUACUCUUUGAUGUUUACAAGAGUAGGGAGGGAGAGAGGUUUUCACUUACUAGAUAGUAGAUAAGAACUAUUUUAGGUGAAGAGAAAGACAACACACAAUACAGGAGAGGUCAACACAACUGGACUAAACCAAAAGCAAAGAUGUUUCCUGAAUAAAUUGGAUGUUUCAAAGGCCAGCGUAGUGGCGGGGUGGGGGGGAUUUGGGGACCAUGGUUUUAAGGGACAUCUAAGUCAAUUGGCAUAAUAAAAUCUAUUAAGAAAACAUUCUGCAUCCCACUUUGGAGAGUGGCGUCUGGGGUGUUAAAUGCUGACAAGCAGCCAUCUAAGAUGCAUCAAUUGGUCUCAACCCACCUGGAGCAAAGGAGAAUGAAGAACAACAAAGAUACAAGGUAAUUAUGAGCCCAAGAGGCAGAAAGGGCCACAUAAAGCAGAGAAUACGUCAGCCUGAGACCAGGAGAGCUAGAUGGUGCCUGGCUACAACCAAUGACAGCCCUAACAGGGAACACAACAGAGAACCCCGGAGGGAGCAGGAGAGUAGUGGGAUGCAGACCCCAAAUUCUCAUAAAAAGACCAGACUUAAUGGUCUGAAACUAGAAGGACCCCGGAGGUUAUGGUCCCCAGACCUUCUGUUAGCCCAAGACUGGAACAAUUUCCAAAGCCAACUCUUCAGACAGGGAUUGGACUAAACUAUGGGAUAGAAAAUGAUGGGGAAGAAUGAGCUUCUUGGAUCAAGUAGACACAUGAGACUAUGUGGGCAUCUCCUGUCUGAAGGGGAGAUGAGAGGGUAGAGGGGGUCAGAAGCUGACCGAAUGGACAUGAAAGGAAAAGGUGGAAAGGAGUGUGCUGUCACAUUAGGGGGAGAGCAAUUAGGAGUAUAUAGCAAGGUGUUUAUAAAUUUUUAUAUGAGAGUCCAACUUGAUUUAUAAACUUUCGCUUAAAGCACAAUAAAAAUUAAAAAAAAAAAAAAACCCUAUGGGGCAGUUCUGCUCUGCCCUAUAGGAUCUCUAUGAGUCAAAAUUUGACUCAGCGGCAAUGGGUUUGGUUUGGGACCUCGGCUUCCCAGUCUGUUAGUUAGCAAAGUACUUUAUAAGAACCCUGAUAUAAAACAAUAAUGCUAAUUAAAGAUUGUAGUAGUAUAUAUGCUUUCUUUGUCCUUUUACUAACGAGAUACGUGCUAAACUAUUGUUACGCUUAAUAAUAUAAUGCAAAAUGAAUCCAAAAUUUAUGAACAGAAAUUUCACUUCCUAAAUAAUCUGCCGCCUAGUAAAAUUUGAGUCUUCUUUUUUUCCGAGGUUCACAUAAUUUGCAUUAUUAUAGUCUCACAGUUUAUGUGUUUACUGGAAUCUUUUCCUUAAGUCUAUUUUCUAGAUGUUAUGCAAAUCACAGCAGCACUGAAUAUCCUAUAGAGAAUAAAAUGUUGAGACUGCUGUGGUGGGGAGCUUCAGUGUUCAUACUCUUUGCUUAAAUUGCUUAGCAGCACCUAAAUUAUUUUAGAGUCUGAGACUAGGUAUCCAGAGUUGUGUUCUUGAAAGAGAAUUGUUUGUAUAUAAUUUCUUACUUUUUAAUACCAUAAGAGAAUGGAGCCUAUAGAGCUCUGUUUGGGUGCCUGUCUAAGUUUUCAGCUUAUUUAUAGCUGAGGUGAAAGGCAUUCAGUACCUGCUAAACCUGGUUUCAGCUCUCUUCACUCCCUUAGUGGUGCAUGCUGGGGGCAAUUUCUGUGUGUUUAAUACAAGUAAUACUCAUUGUUGUCUGAAAAUGAGUCCUCGAAGGUAACAAAGGAGGAACUAUUUUGAACCGCUUGGUUUACUCUGUAUAUAGAUAUGUUUAAAUUUCCACUGUGUCUAUUUUCUAUAUGAAGCUGUUAGUUUAUAAUUUUAGAAAGUUUUUUUGGUAGUCCUUCCUGAACUUAAUUUAUCAUUUGGUUUUGUUGCUUUGUAACAGAUAAAGUGCAAUUUUGCAUGAUUUUUUUUAAAAACUUUGUGUGAUCUUUAAAAUAUACUGUUUAAUACUUUAGAAUAAUAGUCUGGCAGAUAUGGGCCUUUUUAAAAAACUCGUAGACAUGGUUUUUUUUCCCAAUCGUGUAGACUGGCAGGCAUUUUUAUUAUUAUGUUACAUUAAAAUGCCUUUUUUAGUUACAAAUAAUCCAUGGUCACUAUAACUUUGGAAAAUAUUAAAGGUACAAAGAAGAAAAUAAUAACAUCUGAAAUACCUUUAUCCAGAGGUAAUCACUAUUAGCCUUAGGAUGUUAAUUCCCUCAUCUUUUAGAGAAACUGUUUAUUGCUUUAUUUUUUGAGGAGUUUAAUGUACAAGGAAUUACACACAAUGUAUCCAACACCGAGAAUUAAUAAUGGUUAAUAUCUUUUGUUUCUAAAUUUUUGUCUAAAGAGAUUAUAUACUUUCUUUUAAAAGAUAUAGAUACUACCAAAAAAAAAAAAAACCCCAAAUCCGU